rnacentral:misc_RNA from 1 species
AAAAAUGUGCCUCCUAUAGAAAUAAAGUUGGGCGGCACUUACACUAACCGAUGGUUGUGGCAGUAUUCGUGAGGGUGGGAUGAAACAUUUUCGUCUUGGGCGAUAUGUUUCGGUUUUCCCAAUGUUUCACAAACAUCUAUGGGUAUCGUCAAGUGUAGAUCUGUGUGGUCCAGUAUUUGAUUCGUUGGUGGUCUGCGAAACUGCAAACGUGUUAGAUAGCCCGGUGAUUCGCUGCUAUUCGAAUCAACGCGUGCGGUCUCACAACGUGUGGUCUCAAA